ACGCACCUCCAGUGGAGGGGAUGCUGAGGAGGAAGGCAAGCCAAAGGCACCACGCCUUCGAUGAUCUCAUAAACGAGCCGUUUGCAUGCCGCUAGUGAACUAGAUGUGACUUCAAGACCGGCUUCCCUAACAUCCAGCCAACUUCUCUCCCUUCCAGCUUGGAAAGUCAAAGCGGUGCCCAAACUCCACCAGCAGCCGGCAGAGAGGCAGGGAGCCUGGCCCUCAGGAAGUCGGAAUACGCUUUUAACGCAUAGAUGACGCAUUAAUUAUGGAUGGAAGACGUCUGAGAUGAAUAAAGUGAAAUGGAAUGUGCUCUGAGCUCCUCCAUCCCGCAAAUCGGAAACUUCCCGCUGCUCAGCCGCGUGGCUCAGCCCUCGACUCCGGAGCCGCGGAGGAGACGGAGCGUAGAAUGCUUGAGACCCACGGGACGCACCCCGGCUCCGAAGGGAAUUUCCUGGUUUGGAUGCAGGCACUGGAGAAGUUAGCUGCCUAGAAAAGACCCUGGGUCCUUCAGCUGUCCUCAUUUACAAAGACAGUGAUUAAAAUACACAGAAAGCCUGCCUGGUGUUUUCAACGGAAGUCGCAACUGAGCGUCCGAACCACAAGCGUUGACUGAGUCUACCGAGUGGCUUACAUUUCUAAGAUCUUGGAGCAGAUACAGAAAAAGGCACCCUCACCUGCUGCCCUGGGAGAAGCCCAGGCACGAAGCCAGAUUUACAAAUCAUAAAGCCGCCACACAGGAAAGGAGUGGAAAUAAACGGGGGCUUGGUGAGAACGGACACAAAGCCACGACCACUCUGGAGACUGAGCGAAGGCUCCAGCCUAGUGACCGACCCUUCAACAGCCUGCGAGGAAAAAUGAGCAUCCUUUACAAGUGAACGUGUUUGCCGUCAGCUGUUGGACCGAGCGUGUGAAAAAGUGCAUCUCGAGACAAGCCGAAGAAAAGGGUUACGUUGUUGACAACAUCUUGGUUUCGUUCCAGAGAAGGUCAGUGGUUUGUGUGACAUGGACGCAGACUGAACGGCAGAUUAUUUAACAAUUUCAAAAAAAAUUAAAUCAUCUAGUCAGCCAAA